GAUGAACGCUAGCUACAGGCUUAACACAUGCGAGUCGAGGGGCAGCGGUAUCGAAAGCUUGCUUUCGGUAGCCGGCGACCGGCGCACGGGUGAGUAACGCGUAUCGAACCUGCCUCAUACUCGGGAAUAGCCUUGCGAAAGUAAGAUUAAUGCCCGGUGUUUUCAGAGUCCCGCAUGAGGCUUUGAACAAAGAUUUAUCGGUAUGAGAUGGCGAUGCGUCCCAUUAGCUUGUUGGCGGGGUAACGGCCCACCAAGGCAUCGAUGGGUAGGGGUUCUGAGAGGAAGGUCCCCCACAUUGGAACUGAGACACGGUCCAAACUCCUACGGGAGGCAGCAGUGAGGAAUAUUGGUCAAUGGGCGGAAGCCUGAACCAGCCAAGUAGCGUGCAGGAAGACGGCCCUCCGGGUUGUAAACUGCUUUUAGUUGGGAAUAAAACGGGACUCGUGAGCCCCCUUGCAUGUACCAUCAGAAAAAGGACCGGCUAAUUCCGUG
rnacentral:rRNA from 1 species